CCGCUGAAUUUAAGCAUAUUAGUAAGCGGAGGAAAAGAAACUAACAAGGAUUCCCUUAGUAACGGCGAGUGAAGCGGGAAGAGCCCAGCACCGAAUCUCCCGGCCGUAUGGCCGUGGCGACCUGUGGUGUUUGGGAGUGUCGUUGGUGUGCUGCCGGAUGCUCAAGUCCUCUUGAAUGAGGCAUACGUCCAUAGAUGGGUGCAAGGCCCGUAGAGCUGACGGCGGCGCACCUCUGGCGCUCUCUGGAGUCGGGUUGCUUGAGAAUGCAGCCCAAAGUGGGUGGUAAACUCCAUCUAAGGCUAAAUAUAUGCACAAGACCGAUAGC
rnacentral:rRNA from 1 species